rnacentral:rRNA from 1 species
UACGGAGGGUGCAAGCGUUGUCCGGAUUUAUUGGGUUUAAAGGGUGCGUAGGUGGCCUGUUAAGUCCGCUCUGAAAGUUGGUCGCUUAACGAUCAAGGGUGGGUGGAUACUGGCGGGCUUGGAUCAGGUGGCGGUUUCUGGAACGGGUCGUGUAGCGGUGAAAUGCAUAGAUAUGACCCAGAACUCCGAUUGCGAAGGCA